CCCCUAAAGCAGGAUUGCCCUUUUAAAUGAGUCUUUUUCCCAGCAAGCCUUUCUGGGGCUGUCUUCUUAAAUUUGGCAAAGACUGACAGCUGUAACUUUAAGAAGUGGCCAUUUUAGAACUGGCUGCUGUUCAAGGACUCUUCUACACCUUCCACUGGGGACCCAGCUGAAGAAAAUUCUUGAUGCCCGCGACACAACAGGGCUGGCGAUGAGGGGCGCAAACCUCGACUGUCCAAGGGAUGGACCCUGACUGUUCCACGGAAUGAACCCUGACCACAAUGAGGAUGAUUCUGGAAUCCUGGACAGAACCAAGGAAGACUGAAGACGCUGGACCACAGGAACACUCUGGAGCACAGGAACAGGGCGCGAUGAUAACCAGGGGUGCUGGAACACUUUGUAUAAUGGAGGUGCCGAAAGCCAAUGAAGCAAACUGUAAACCCGUAUAUGAUGGAAUCCAUUUCAAGACAGGAGGUGCUGCCAUACCCCUAGUUUGAGCACCUAUGCUCUGCUUUUCAGAACACACAUUGGGCACUUGCUGUUUGUGACAAACUGUUAUAUGUAGGUCUAUGGUUAUAAACUCUGUAGCGUUUCUUGAUGGAUUACAGCUCAUAAACAAUUCUUUUUCCAAAAUGUGUCUUUCCAUUUGAUUAGACUAAAGAUAACACAUCAAUGUACUGAACUUUUUUUCUCUUAAGAUAGCAUGCAAUUUAAUUAAAUCUUUUUCAUUUCUUUUGACAUGUGAAAUAUGAGCUCUCUUGUGAAAAGCGUCUCUUGAUUACUGGGCACAGACUUUGCUGGGGAAGAUAUAAUUUUCUCUGCAUACAGUACAACUCUCAUUUGUUUGGGUUUUUUUCUCCCAGCAUAACAGAUAUUCGUAACAUUACAUAGCCACCCUUUGCUGAUGUCAGCUGA